GACAGAGGGUGCAAACGUUGUCCGGAAUUACUGGGCGUAAAGCGUGCGCAGGCGGUUUUGUAAGUCUGUCGUGAAAUCCCCGGGCUCAACCUGGGAAUUGCGAUGGAGACUGCAAGGCUAGAAUCUGGCAGAGGGGGGUAGAAUUCCACGUGUAGCAGUGAAAUGCGUAGAGAUGUGGAGGAACACCGAUGGCGAAGGCAGCCCCCUGGGUCAAGAUUGACGCUCAUGCACGAAAGCGUGGGGAGCAAACAGG
rnacentral:rRNA from 1 species